rnacentral:rRNA from 1 species
UACGUAGGUGGCAAGCGUUGUCCGGAUUUAUUGGGUUUAAAGGGUGCGUAGGUGGUCUAUUAAGUCAGUGCUGAAAUAUCCCGGCUUAACCGGGAGGGUGGCAUUGAUACUGAUGGACUUGAGUAAAGUUGAGGUGGGCGGAAUUGACGGUGUAGCGGUGAAAUGCUUAGAUAUCGUCAAGAACACCUAUUGCGAAGGCAGCUCACUAGGCUUUAACUGACACUGAGGCACGAAAGUGUGGGGAUCAAACAGG